rnacentral:rRNA from 1 species
GACGAACGCUGGCGGCGUGCCUAAUACAUGCAAGUAGAACGCAGUUGCGAACGGGUGAGUAACGCGUAGGUAACUGCCUGGUAGCGGGGGAUAACUAUUGGAAACGAUAGCUAAUACCGCAUACUACCAGAUGGACCUGCGUUGUAUUAGCUAGUUGGUGAGGUAACGGCGCACCAAGGCAACGCUGCAUAGCCGACCUGAGAGGGUGGUCGGCCAAAACGGGACUGGGACACGGCCCCGACUCCUACGGGAGGCAGCAGUAGGGAAUCUUCGGGAAUGGGGGGAACCCUGAACGAGGAACGCCGGGGGAGGGAAGAAGGUUUUCGGAUCGGAAAGCUCUGGUGUUAAGGAAGCGGUACUUAACCAGAAAGGGACGGCUAACUACGUGCCAGCAGCCGCGGUAAUUC